rnacentral:rRNA from 1 species
GACGAACGCUGGCGGCGUGCUUAACACAUGCAAGUCGAACGGAAAGGCCCUGCUUUUGUGGGGUGCUCGAGUGGCGAACGGGUGAGUAACACGUGAGUAACCUGCCCUUGACUUUGGGAUAACUUCAGGAAACUGGGGCUAAUACCGGAUAGGAGCUCCUGCUGCAUGGUGGGGGUUGGAAAGUUUCGGCGGUUGGGGAUGGACUCGCGGGUUAUCAGCUUGUUGGUGGGGUAGUGGCUUACCAAGGGUGUGACGGGUAGCCGGCCUGGGAGGGUGAACGGCCACAUUAGGACUAAGGUACGGCCCAGACUCCUACGGGGGGCAGCAGUGGGGAAUAUUGCACAAUGGGCGGAAGCCUGAUGCAGCAACGCCGCGUGCGGGAUGACGGCCUUCGGGUUGUAAACCGCUUUCGCCUGUGACGAAGCGUGAGUGACGGUAAUGGGUAAAGAAGCACCGGCUAACUACGUG